GAGUUUGGGUCUCUCUUAAGAUGGAACAAAUUUUGUGCCUUUUCCUAAAAAUUUCCGUGCAGAAAAACAAAUUUGAGGUUUGAUUCAAUUCUUCAAGGUCUUGUAUUUGUGUGCAAU
ensembl:snRNA U5 U5 spliceosomal RNA